rnacentral:lncRNA from 1 species
AGCUCCGCCACUGCGCGCGCUCCAGCGCCCCAGAAGGCAGGGGGCAGCCCGGGGACCGGGGUCCCGGAGCCCCGUGGGAGGCGGGCAACACCUGUCGGGACCCGAGGGCGUGUCUGAGAUUGUGGCCUGAGGUGCUGCGCCUUCCGAUCCGGGGCAGCGGGCGUCCUGUAGCUGCGCCUUCCGAAUCCAGCCCAGAUUCUCCUACCAGCUGCUUGGGUCACGUCGGUGGAACUCCUAAAGGGGAUGCCUUCAAAAUGUGUGAAUAAGCUUCAAUCAGACUGCCCUUCCCAAAGAAAAUAACUAUAAAUGCUGGAAAAACUACAAAACAGCCACCUGAAGGCACUGGCGAGAGACAAAAGCAAGCAAAUUCUGGAGAAGAGUCAACACUUGGAAGAAGGGAGCUGCACUGGGGUACAUGGGGAAGGAACAGUGUCUCUGCAUGAGAAUGGCCAAAGAACAAGAUACAUUUCCCCGUGGAGAGCAAUCCUAGAGAGAGGGAAGCAUGGGUCAGAAUAAGGUGUACUGGCCCCAGGGUAAUAGCAUGUAUUUCUGUUGCAUUGGUGUUUCCAAAAUAAUGCUUCGGUUCCAAGUUUCAGGAAUUGGUUGGGGGAGCAUGGGGAUCAUACAGUGAUUCAGGAGCUUCCUUGCAAGUAAGUGAGUGAGCCAAUCAAAUAAUUUAUGUUUAAAUCUUUCACUGUGUUAAAUGUUGAAAAAUAAAGCAAGUGAAUUCCAU